ensembl:lncRNA
UGAUUACCUACCAUCUGCAGGGCACUGUACCCGUAUUUGGGAAUGGAAUAAAACGUGACAACUGACAACUAUUUUCAAGGAAGUUCUGGUUAGAAAUGAGAGGCUGAAAUAUAAAGACACUGAAUUAUUCAUUUCUUUUUUAAAAAGAUAUGAUGGACAUCUUUCACACACAGUCAAAUACAACCAAGAGGAGAAUUACGAGGCAGAUAAUGAUUUUGUGUUCUUUUGUGGAGGGAUGCUUCAACUGAAAGGUAAACAAUUUAGAAAAUAAAAUAAAUAAUAUGUGUUAUGGUUUAUGAAGUAUUAGAAAAACAUAUAAUGAGAUUAUCUCUUAAGAAUUGUGUAGCUUGUUGCUGACAUACAGGUGGGCUGAAAGUUAAAAGCAUCUAAGAGAAACUGGUCAUGUAUGAGAGGAAUUUUCAGCCUCCUAGUCAAUUAAGAAUUCAGAAAGUAUGUAAUUACUGAAUCUGAUUGCAGUGAUCAUAGGCCAAUAUGAAGAUGUAAAUGUAAAGGAUAACUAACACAAGUUGUACUCAAUGAUGUGUUAUCUUUUAUUUCCAAAGGUAGUUAUACUGUUUUCCUAGACUGACACAAAAACCUCUUGUAAAUUCUAUAUUAUGAAUAAAUAGCAUUUACUUAAUAUCUAUAUCUACAUUAAAAAAUGUUGCUCCUGCAAAAAAAUUUGAUGUUUUUAGGUAUUGGGUUAUUAUAAAAUAUAAUUAAACCAUUA